rnacentral:rRNA from 1 species
GUCCUUUUGAUUAUUUAUAUAAGGUCUGACCUGCCCUAUGAAUAUUUAAAUGGCCGCGGUAUACUAACCGUGCAAAGGUAGCAUAGUCAUUUGUCUCUUAAUUGGAGGCUUGAAUGAAGGGUUGGACGAGAUAUAAGCUUUCUUUGUUAUAUUUUAUUGAAUUUGACUUUUGAGUUAAAAGGCUUAAAUUUUUUUAUAGGACGAGAAGACCCUAUAGAAUUUUAUAUAUUUGUAUAAUUGAUUUAUUUAUUUAUUAUUUAAUUUCUUGUUUAAAUAUAUUUUGUUGGGGCGAUGGGAAGAUUUUAAUAACUCUUUUUUGUUUUGAUCAUUGAUUUAUGUUUUAUUCUGAUCCUUUUUUAGAGAUUAUAAGAUUAAAUUACCUUAGGGAUAACAGCGUAAUUCUUUUGGAGAGUUCUUAUCGAUAAAAGAGUUUGCGA